rnacentral:lncRNA from 1 species
GACUCUUCUCUUCAUGCCACCACUUUUCUCUAUGCACAAAGUAUUUUUUAUGAAAUUUUUUUAUGCCAUUUUGAUGCUGGUCACCCUAUCUCUGAGUUCUUAAGAUCAGGAUAAAAUUUGAUUCAAAAUUUAAUUCAAAUUUGAUUUGAAUUGAUGAUAAGGAUCAACCAAUGUUUGAACUAGAACCAACCUACCUAAUUCUUAUCCUUAUAUUCCACG